AUUGAACGCUGGCGGCAUGCCUUACACAUGCAAGUCGAACGGCAGCACGGGGGCAACCCUGGUGGCGAGUGGCGAACGGGUGAGUAAUACAUCGGAACGUGCCCAGUAGUGGGGGAUAGCUCGGCGAAAGCCGGAUUAAUACCGCAUACGACCUACGGGUGAAAGCGGGGGAUCGCAAGACCUCGCGCUAUUGGAGCGGCCGAUGUCAGAUUAGGUUGUUGGUGGGGUAAAGGCCACCAAGCCGACGAUCUGUAGCUGGUCUGAGAGGACGACCAGCCACACUGGGACUGAGACACGGCCCAGACUCCUACGGGAGGCAGCAGUGGGGAAUUUUGGACAAUGGGCGCAAGCCUGAUCCAGCCAUGCCGCGUGCGGGAAGAAGGUCUUCGGGUUGUAAACCGCUUUUGUCAGGGAAGAAACGCUCCGGGUUAAUACCUCGGCGUAAUGACGGUACCUGAAGAAUAAGCACCGGCUAACUACGUGCCAGCAGCCGCUGUAAU
rnacentral:rRNA from 1 species